GCCCGCUCAGAAACUUAAAUGAAUUGACGGGGGCCCGCACAAGCGGAGGAACAUGUGGUUUAAUUCGAUGAUACGCGAGGAACCUUACCCGGGCUUGAAAUGCAUCUGACCGGCCUUGAAAGAGGCACUCCCUUUCGGGGCAGAUGUGUAGGUGCUGCAUGGUUGUCGUCAGCUCGUGCCGUGAGGUGUCGGCUUAAGUGCCAUAACGAGCGCAACCCUCAUCAUUAGUUACCAUCAGGUAAGGCUGGGGACUCUAAUGAGACUGCCAUCGUAAGAUGUGAGGAAGGUGGGGAUGACGUCAAAUCAGCACGGCCCUUACGUCCGGGGCGACACACGUGUUACAAUGGGUGGUACAAAGGGCAGCUACCUGGCGACAGGAUGCUAAUCUCGAAAACCGCUCUCAGUUCGGAUCGGAGUCUGCAACUCGACUCCGUGAAGCUGGAUUCGCUAGUAAUCGCGCAUCAGCCACGGCGCGGUGAAUACGUUCCCGGGCCUU
rnacentral:rRNA from 1 species